rnacentral:rRNA from 1 species
AUGGAUCAACAUCGGCAGCGGCGCGUACAUGGAUCUUGCUGGCAACGGCAAAACCCGCCGUUUCGCCGCCCCGAAGGGAUGGUCGUGUGCUCCCCUCAUCUCGUCGUCGCCACAUCCGCCUGCAAUGGUCCACUCAAAAUUGCAUGUUUUCGGCCACGCAAUGAAAUGGCGAUCCACCCGGCGAUGCUUUUAUUGUCAGAAGGAGAUUACUCGCACGCUCAUCAACGCCAUGAUCCGAACUUCAUCUACAUGGACAUAGCCUUCCACCAUGGAAAGGUCUUUGCUCUGAGCUUAACAGAGAAUCUCUUUGCCUUUGAUUUGGCCAUCGAAGAGAUGUCGCUAUCUCAAACUAGGAGUCGUGUCGAGCAUGCCAUCAAGGAAGGGCCAGCUGCAGCGGCAGGUGCCGCGGUACAUUACCGCAACCACCACCUGGUCACAUCUUCGGACGAACAAAAACUACUAAUGGUGCGGUGGCGAAUCCCUUUACUGGAAGGUUGGAGAAAGUUUGAUCAUCGAAUGAUGGAUCUGCAAGUGUUCGAGGCAGACUUGCAGAAGGGCCGGUGGUCCGAGGUCAAGGACUUGGGUGACCAGGCCCUUUUCGUUGGCCAAACGGGAGCGAGAGCGCUUGCGGUGGGCGGUUUGUCAGAUCAGAUGUUCCAAGGGAAUCGUGUGUUCAUUCUCGGCGAUGACUGGGCAUGGUUCCGCCCCUGGUGUAAAUGUUCUGGCUGCAAAAAACUCGGCUAUAAAGCUCCUAGCUAUUGUGUGUACGACAUGAUGAGCGGUGAAGCUAGUUUAGUUUCUUUAGGUGGAGGUCAUUGUUCGAAAGAGUCUCCCAAUAUGGCAUGGUUUUUUCCC